UACGAAGGGUGCAAACGUUGCUCGGAAUUAUUGGGCGUAAAGCGCACGUAGGCGGUUCGUUAUGUCGGAUGUGAAAGCCCUUGGCUUAACCGAGGAAGUGCAUCCGAAACUGGCGAGCUAGAGUACUAAAGAGGAUCGCGGAAUUCCCGGUGUAGAGGUGAAAUUCGUAGAUAUCGGGAGGAACACCGGUGGCGAAGGCGGCGAUCUGGGUAGAUACUGACGCUGAGGUGCGAAAGCGUGGGGAGCAAACAGG
rnacentral:rRNA from 1 species